rnacentral:rRNA from 1 species
UACGGAGGGCGCAAGCGUUGUUCGGAAUUACUGGGCGUAAAGCGCGUGUAGGCGGUCUGGCAAGUCGGUUGUGAAAUCCCCGGGCUCAACCCGGGAACUGCAUCCGAAACUGCUGGGCUAGAGUUCCGGAGAGGAAGGCAGAAUUCCCAAUGUAGGGGUGAAAUCCGUAGAUAUUGGGAGGAAUACCAGUGGCGAAGGCGGCCUUCUGGACGGUGACUGACGCUGAGACGCGAAAGCGUGGGGAGCAAAC